rnacentral:rRNA from 1 species
UACGAAGGGUGCAAGCGUUACUCGGAAUUACUGGGCGUAAGGCGUGCGUAGGUGGUGAGUUAAGUCUGUCGUGAAAGCCCCGGGCUCAACCUGGGAAUGGCGAUGGAUACUGGCUCGCUAGAGUGCGGUAGAGGAGAGUGGAAUUCCCGGUGUAGCAGUGAAAUGCGUAGAGAUCGGGAGGAACAUCAGUUGCGAAGGCGGCUCUCUGGACCAGCACUGACACUGAGGCACGAAAGCGUGGGGAGCAAACAGG